rnacentral:rRNA from 1 species
GCACCGGCUAACUACGUGCCAGCAGCCGCGGUAAUACGUAGGGUGCGAGCGUUGUCCGGAAUUACUGGGCGUAAAGAGCUCGUAGGUGGUUUGUCGCGUCGUCUGUGAAAUUCCGGGGCUUAACUCCGGGCGUGCAGGCGAUACGGGCUGACUUGAGUGCUGUAGGGGAGACUGGAAUUCCUGGUGUAGCGGUGAAAUGCGCAGAUAUCAGGAGGAACACCGAUGGCGAAGGCAGGUCUCUGGGCAGUAACUGACGCUGAGGAGCGAAAGCAUGGGUAGCGAACAGGAUUAGAUACCCUGGUAGUCCAUGCCGUAAACGGUGGGCGCUAGGUGUAGGGGGCUUCCACGUCUUCUGUGCCGUAGCUAACGCAUUAAGCGCCCCGCCUGGGGAGUACGGCCGCAAGGCUAAAACUCAAAGGAAUUGACGGGGGCCCGCACAAGCGGCGGAGCAUGUGGAUUAAUUCGAUGCAACGCGAAGAACCUUACCUGGGCUUGACAUAUACAAGACAGGCGUAGAGAUACGUCCUCCCUUGUGGUUUGUAUACAGGUGGUGCAUGGUUGUCGUCAGCUCGUGUCGUGAGAUGUUGGGUUAAGUCCCGCAACGAGCGCAACCCUUGUCUUAUGUUGCCAGCAUUUGGUUGGGGACUCAUGAGAGACUGCCGGGGUCAACUCGGAGGAAGGUGGGGAUGACGUCAAAUCAUCAUGCCCCUUAUGUCCAGGG